CUCGGGGCCGCCCGAGCCCAGACUCUCCCCCUCCCCAGGGGCCGCCCGGGGCCCGGACCCUCCCCCUGGCCGCGAGGAACCCGGUCCCAGGCGGGAGGUGUGCUGGGGGCGGGGCGCCCGCGACCCGGAAGCGGGGACGAACACAGGGGAGCCCGAGAGAUGGCGGCGGUGGCCGUGAGCAGCGCCAAGCGGAGCCUGCGGGCCGAGCUGAAGCAGCGUCUGCGCGCGAUGAGCGCCGAGGAGCGGCUGCGCCAGUCCCGCCUCUUGGCCCAGAAGGUGAUGGCCCACAGUCGGUAUCAAAAGUCCGAAAGGAUUUCCAUCUUCCUGAGCAUGCAAGACGAAAUCGAGACAGAGGAGAUCAUCAAGGACAUUUUCCGGCGAGGCAAAACCUGCUUCAUCCCGAGGUACCAGUUCCAGAGCAAUCACAUGGAUAUGGUGAAGCUGGCAUCGCCCGAGGAAGUCUCCUCGCUUCCCAAAACGUCCUGGAACAUUCAUCAGCCCGGAGAGGACGAGGUUCGGGAGGAAGCUUUGUCGACAGUCCUGCACUCUGCUAGAAGUUACGCACCAAAGGUAUACUCAGAUCUACCUCCUUCCUGUCCUGCGUCGGUAGACCGGAGGAAUGCCAACAUUAUGGGACGGUGGCCUGUCUUCAAGGGGAGAGAUUGCAGAGGCUCUUUGGGAAUUCAUACCUGUGUGUGGGCCCCUGAAACGUGACUUGAAUGAACGAUCGUAAUGGAGACUUUCUCGUCCUCAACCAGAACACUUUAAAGUAAUUGAAUGGGACGUUGUCAAGGACAGAGUCUUCGAGCAUAACACGUGCAGCUUCCUCCUUGGUGUUCGUGAACAGUGCUGUUGGGAGGGGGAGGCUUGGUUCACUGAAAGUAAUUCCCGUUAAAUUGACCUCAUUUCUUUCUCUAACAGGAUUGCGUGGCCUCAGAAAGAAUAUAAUAAAGAGAGUGGGUGUGAAUUUCAUCAAGGUAUUUGACAGAGUCAUGGUAUCCUUGAGGGUAAGCUGAAUAAAUUUAGAUCGGAUCAUAAUACUUCUUUCAGAAAGUAUUUAUCGCACGCCUGGUCUGUGUGAGCUGUGACGGGGGCAGAGCAGGGAGCGGGGUGGACCGGUCCCCGUCGCCGCAGAGCUGACGAGCCCGUGGUCCUCGCCAGGACAGGUUUGUGCGAGCCUGUUGCAGGGCUCCGUGCUGUCCCGUUCAGCGCUUUGUUGCCACUUAGAUGUCCCCCUGUCCCCAAGGAUGUCUGAGUUCAUCCUUAUCAUUCUCUUUGUGUUUUCCCCAUUCCUGUCAGGAGACGGUUUGGAACGUAGGAUGAUCCUUGUCUCUUUUCCACCCCUCUGGUUUUCACACAUCGCCAGAUUUUUCUUUGCAAUGUUUUUAUCACCUGUCUCGAAUUCCAGCUUUGGGGGAAUCUUUUGUCUACAGUUUUGAUUCUUCAGAUCAGUUCCAUUGCAAUAAACUUCAGAUUGGUUUCCCGGAUAUACUGACUUUCCUAAAAUACCUUUUGGGGCAGGUCACCUCCCCUCUGAAGCCUUUCCCUGGGCCCUGGAUAGAUCUGUGUACCUGAGCAGACCCUGGUUCCUUGCCAGAAGAAGGGACACUGGUUAACCCUGAAACACUGAGGUCACCCUCUGGACCUUCCCCGUCCUUCCGCCUCGACUCCUGCUUCAGCCAGAGGUCUGCUGGACAGCGGUUUCCCAGCAAUCCAGAACAUAGAUGGGAAUCACAUAAAUCUCAUUUUGCCCCUUUCUCCUGUGGGACUUACAGCCUUCGGGCCUCAGACUUCUCCCCUGCAGACGGUGUCGUGCGCCGCCUCCCAGCCGUUGGGAAGCUCGCGGGAGGCCGUGUCUGCAGCGUGCUCAGGACACGGUCACUGCUCUGUGCGGGUGCUCAGAGUCGCUGUGCUGAGCUGUCUCCCGAUAGCGUCCCGUGUGUGUCGCCGUGGACUCUGUCCCCGCUGUUUCCCCGGGCUGGGGUGUCUCGUGUCCCUUCCAGGCAGCAUCUUUUAUUUAGCCUAGUGCCUGAGAGCAUUGCCUUCUGAGUCAGACUGACCUGAGUUCGAAUUUAGACUCUAAAAUUCGGGCAAGUUACUUACCGUCUCAAAGUACACGUUUUUUCCAUGUGAAAAUUGUGGAUGAGCACAGAAUGCACUCCCUGUGUUGAGAGGAUGGACUAGGAUAUGUGUGAAGGGCCUAGUGGGGUCCCUCGCACAGUUAGGGCUCGGUGAAUGCCAGUUGCUGUUCCUGAGCUCAGCUGCCUUUUCCAGACCUUCCUUGACUGCCCCCAAAACCUCACUCCUUCCUUCUCUAAUUCCCACUCACCUGGCUUCUCACAUUUACCCCCUGUUUUAUUUCUCCUUGGGGGUACAUUUCUUUUAUUGCUGAUAGACUUCAUGAAACUGUGAUUUAUAAUAUGAAAUAUAUAUAUAUUUGGUCUUUGGCACUGGUUUCUGGCACAGAGCUCCUAAAACCCUUGUAAUUUCCUUAGUGAUAAGAGUGAUAAAGGUGGGGCGCCUGGGUGGCUCAGUCGUUAAGUGUCUGCCUUCGGCUCAGGUCAUGAUCCCAGGGUCCUGGGAUCAAGUCCCGCAUCGGGGUCCUUGCUUGUCGGCGGGGGGCUGCUUCUCCCUCUGCCGCUCCCCUUGCUUGUGCUCUCUCUCUCUCUCUCUCUCUGUCUGACAAAUAAAUAUAUUCUUUAAAAAAAAUUAAAAGAGUGAUAAAGGUGUCUUGAUAUUCAUUAAAAUGUCUUUCAACUCCACCCGAGUUUAUGGCAAUGAGAUAAUGUUUGGAAGGCACCGAAGGGUGGGGGCUAGUUACUGGGGGGACCAGUCAUGUCGCUGGAGGGUCAGAACUUGCAGUUCGGGGGGGGCCAGUGGCCAGUGAUUUAAUCAGUUGCACCUCUGUCUUGAGGAUGCCAUAAAAACCCAAGAGGAUGGGGUUCGGAGAGCUUCUGGGUUGGUGGACACAUGGAGAUUUGGGAGACUAAAGCUCCGCCCCCUUCCCACACCUGGCCCUCUGCACCUCUUCCAUCGGGCUGUUCCUGAGUUACAGCCUUUUAUAGUAAACCAGUGAUCCAGCAAGGGUAGUGUUUCUCAGAGCUCUGUGAGCUGCUCACAGACCCCAGGAGCGGCCGUGUAGCUGGAGGGUCCGAGGCCCAGGUGACAGCUGGGACUUGUGAUGGCCUCUGAACGGGGCACAGUCUUGGGGACUGAAUCCUUCACCUGUGGAGUCUGAUGCUGUCUCCAGGCAGCGUCAGAAUCGGUUUCAUUGUAGGACAUCUGGCUGGUGUCGGGGAGGUGCUUGGUGGAAAGAACACUCGCUGGAGACUGGGAUUCUGGAAGAUUCUGGAAGCGCAGACCUUCUCCUGGGUCCCCGUACUCCUGGUGCGUGGUGUGGUGCUCAUCGUAGAUUUUGAGUAGAAGUUCACUGAGGUAGCGGCCAACGCCGUGAUUAUCGUGAAUUCAGACAACGCUUACGCAGAGUGAUGGAAGAUCAGUAUUUUAUAUCCCUUCGAGGAAAGCCGGAUUUUAAAAAUAAUUAGAAGCCUGUGCCUAGGGGCACUUAAAAAAGUAGGUCAGAAGUAGUUGUUUUAGGGGCGCCUGGUGGCUCGGUCAGUUGUGUGUCUGCUUUCGGCUCAGGUCAUGGUCCCGGGGUCCUGGGAUCGAGUCCCACGUCGGGCUCCCUGCUCAGCAGAGAGCCUGCUUCUCUCUCCUCCCCGCUCAUGCUCUCUCUCAAAGAAAGAAAAAUCUUUAUAUAUAAAAAAGAAAGUGUUGUUUUAUAAGAUGCUGUGACAUUUUUAUUUGGUGCUUGUGAGUAAAGGGUUGACAUCAGUCCCGAGCGGGAAUGACCUUGGACGUGAUCUUGUCCCAGCACUGGUUUGGGGACGCUGCAGGGUUCAGGUCGAGGUGGAGUAUUAUACCUACCUGUCUGCUGCGGUUACCAUACCUGGGCUGGUUGCUGGGAGUCCAAGUGCAGGCUUUGGGUCUGUGGGUCUGAGUGCGUGUGAAAGACUGGUGGGACCUGGCAGGUGUGGGGGGUCUGCAGGCAGCCCGGCUCUCGAUGCCUCCGUGUGCGCGGAGGGGGCCGCUCUGUGUCCUGGGAUGCCGUGUACACGUGGUAAUACCAGGCUGAGAGUGGCUUGCGUCUCCUGGGUCAGAGCACCGAGCCGAAUCCCGUCUGCAGGUGGUACUCGGCCGGGCCCUGGGGGGACUCUCAGGCCGCCGCCCCCACAGACAACUGUCACAGUGUGCUUGGGAAUUCUUUGUUGAAUUUUCUGAAGCCAAGAAAUAAGUAGUUCUAACAUCUUACGUGGUUGGAUGCUUCAUGAUGAUUUAUAGCAACAGCUCAUGCUCUUACUGGAAGUGAUGUUUCUAGACCUUGAACGUGUCUCUUUUGCUUCACAAAAAUCCCCUUCACUAAUUUUAGGUGAACUUUCAAAAUAGAUCGUCACGCCUAAAAAUAAAGCACCUGUAACUUUGGAGUGCAUCACACGGGGCCGUGCGGGAGUUUCGGGGGACCUCUGUCUGCACAGUGGAGAGCUGUCCCCAGACGUAGGCGUGGGAAGCGGGGCAGGCCCUGCGGUCCUCACCGCAUCUGCCUGGUCGUCACAUGGGAGGUGGAGUGACUGCUCGAGGACUCGCGGGUGGUUAGUGAUGCUGGUACCCCUGUUCUGCUGCUUCCCCCCCGCUGCCCGUGGGAGUGCCAUCGCCCUUCCCAGCACCUCCUUCGGGAAGAUCGCUGUCCGCCUGGGCUGUGUUUCUCCAUCCCUGCCUUCUGCAUGAGCGUGAUUCCCGGAGCAGGUACCCUGGGUGAUCGUGCUCACGGGAACAUGGUCCUAGUUUCCCAGGGAAGAGCAUGUGCUAAGUCACCAUAUCUGAAAGCACACUGGUCUUGAAGUCAAGACACUUUUCCCCCAGGCACUUUAGAUUCCAGGAAAUGCACAGGAAGAACAGCAGGAGCCUUCAUUUGAAUGGUGAGCACCCUGGCGCAGGCUUCCUGGCGCGUUCCAGCAUGCGGGAGCUACUUUAGAGUGCAUGCAUGCUCAUUUCACAGGGUGGUGAUUUACUUUUUGUUAACUCCCAGCCCAUUAAGAUUAAAAGGUACUUCCUUAGAGGUGAUGGCCUGUUAGGCUUGGCAAGAUGGGCGAACCUGCUCCGCGCUCUGUUCCAGCAUAACGAUUCAUCGAGGGUCCUGUUGCACACGGAAGCAUCCUUCAGGGCUGAGCCGGGUGACUUAAAACUCCCCACAUAUAAGACUUCAAGUGUUUAAACUUUUUCUUGUUCAGUUUUUAUUUUAUUACCUUUAAUUGAGACGUUAAAAUGUCUGUUAGGCUUAUGUAUGUUUCUGUCUAUGUUCAAUUCAGAGAAGAGGCAGAAUUAUUAGGAGGAGUUUGAAUUAGAAAAAAGUAAAUUGUGAUCCUUAAAGGUAAGACCUGUGUGGGAACAAGCCCCACCAUGGGUUCCCGUGGCCACAGAGACGGCGCCUCGUCUUGCCCACUGCUCUCUUCCUCAGCAGGUGGUCCCUCAUUCUCUGUCUGUCCUUCCGUCUCCCUGGGGCCCUCCCCCAAGGAUUAAUGAACAGUCCUGGGCAGACCCAGGGACCCUGGAGCCCCCGACUGCAUGUCACCUCCCUCUUGUUCAUCUGUUGUGCAGGCCAGAGCUAGGAGUGUCUGUCUGAAUGCCUUCAGCAGUGAAAACACCCCUUUAAAAUUCUUCAUUGUAGCAUUUUGAAAGGUCACAAGACUGGGAUGUUCCUUUAUGACACAUCAUGACAUGUUCUUUCUAGAAGAGUGGGUUAGAGAAUUUUCCCCAUUGACAUGUGAGAGGGCAAGAGGUGACCUCAGGGACGCAGCGCCAGUAAAUGAAAUGAAAGCUCACCUUUGCCGGUAGGGACUGGUUAGUAUUGGGGUGAGUUUUCCACUCCAGGGUGUGGAGGGAUCUGCUGGCUGGCCGUCCUGCAGAUACUUGUCUUCCUCGCCUCACAGCGCUGCCUGAGGGACCCGAGAACUCAUCUGGCUUGUGGUCCUCCUGUGCCUGGACCAGAAGUCCAGCCUCUGUAGCAAGAUUGAGGAGAGAGGAGAGAGGUGUGAGUGUGUUUCCUCUUUUCGAGAAGGUCUCUGUGCCUUAAGCCUGAAAUGCCCCUCGUCUUUGUCAGCCCUUUGGGAUCUUAAUUAUCCCUUUUCAAAGCUCAGCUUAAAUGCUGCCUCCUCCCAAAUACUGCGACUUGGCUGCUAUAAACCUCUAUUCUCUCUCCCCCAUUUGUGCUUUUAAUAUCAGAUAAAUGGCCUCUGUAUGCACUUACUGUAAAUACAGCGUACGUAUUGCUUUGAAAAUCCUAUGCCGUAAACCUGUCCAUCACCCCGAAAGUUUCCUCCCGCUGUCUUGAUGAUGAUGGUGAUGAUGAUGCUAAGAACACUGAGGAUCGGCUUCACUGUCCUGGCGAGCAUCCCUGCGAACACACUGCGUUCUCAGCUGCAGGCGCGAUGUCGCAAGGCCCGCCUCCGCUUCGUUAGCCCCUUGCUCACCUGAUUCUGCCCCUGCUUGUUUCCUCCCGCUCCCAAUUCAUUCACUUCUAUUUUUUAUCUUUCUUGAUUAUUACAUCCCUGCGCUCCUGUCCUUUUUUUCUGACCCUUAUUCAUUUACUUUCAUUCUUUCCUGUUUGUUAAUAAAAACAUUUAAGUUUUCUAAUUUUUUCCUCUGAGCAUAGCUUUAAUGACAUUCCGCAGAUUUUGACAUAUAAUGUACUUGGUCCUGUUAUCUUCUGUUUUAUGACCAUAGGAUUGGAUGCUUCAUUGGCUCAGGAGACAGCUAACAUCGUUUUAAAAAUUUCUAAAGUGUUUUACCACUUUUGAAUUUCACUGCUCUGGAGUAAGGGAAUAUUGACACAUAUGAUUUAUCAUUUUUGGAUUGAUUACACAUUUUGCUUACUGCACUUGAGUUAGGAACUGCAUUCAACUCUAAGAAACAGAAAUCCUGCGGAAUGGGCUUACACAAGGAAAGGAGUUAUUUUUAUUUUCAUGCCACGAGGACUUCAGUGGCCAGUGGUUGUUGGCAUGCAGUGUCUGCGGUCUUCCUGGCCUUUUGUGGUUGCAGAACGGCUGCGCAGAUCCAGCCAUCACAUCUGUAUCAGGCUCGAAGAAACAAGGCGAGGGGCACUGGUUGAGUGUCCCUGCUUUAAGGAGCGUCUCUGGAAACCCUUACAUCUCAUUGGCUUGAACUGUGAUGACCCCUGUCCAUAGGAGGGUUAGGAAUAUAGUUUAAACAAUUGUUUUUUUUUAACAAGUCACAGUUCUGUUAAUAAGGGAAUGCCGGCAAGGUGGGUGCUGGGGCAAUAGCAUUUGCUGCUGGUGAGUGUUGUGCAGACUUGCAAAAGUCUGUCGUCUGUGUGUGGGGACGGGGCGAGGUCUGAGUGGUGUGCGCGGACACAGACCCCCACGCUUGUGACGUGGUUUAAACUGCGUUUCUGUGUUGAGGUUGACAUCUGAGAGGGUGUUCUGUCCCGAGGCACUGAAGGAUUUCAUUUCUCUCAUUGGUUAACACACUCUAUGUGUCUCAGCACCAUGUUUCUUAGCACGGAAGACUUCUUUUCUGUUAUGUUUAAUUGCAGGUUUUUUAAAUGGAUAGAAACCAACCCUCCUCUUCCAUGAAAAGCCCGAUGUCUUGAAUUUUUCCUUGUUAUCUGUUUUGUUCCUCCAUGUGUUGGAGUCUGUAAUCCUUGGCGCCUCGUCUGGGGACCGACUGCACCUCUUGUGAACAGCAUGCGGCUGGGUUUCUGCUUUGCCCUCACCUGGGAGUCUUCUCUUGCCAGGGGAGCUCAGCCUGCCCUGUGUUUCGUGGUAACUGGACCUGUAAUUCCCCAUUCCCGUCUGCUGGUCACUGCGAAAUGCCUCUGGAACCUGGAAUUCUCCCUGACAUUACCAAUAGGACGUCUGUUGACUUCACCACCUGUAAAAGAUAAAGCGAAUGUGCUUAUUCUUCCUAGUUUUUAUCAACACAAACUGGGAUUUUAAAACCAUUAAUUAUUCAAAGAUGUGUAUCUAUUCCUUAAGGCAUUGUGUUUUUGACGUUUGAUUAUUUUCUUACUACAUUAAUAAAGGACGGUCACUUUAAACUCAACUCUAAAUUUCCCUGGGUCCAUGGUUCACUGCUUCUGCAUCUAAACCAUGCCUUCCUCAUUCUUGGUUUCUGUAUUUUUAUUAAUUUCUCGGUCAAAUGGAGUAUUCCUUUAAGUGAUUUUUUUCAGUGCGGUAUUUUCAGAAUGCUUUUAUCUUUGAGGCUUUCUGGACACGUCGGUGGAUUCUUGCAUGGGGAUAGAAUUCGUGGGUCACCCUGGUUUUCCCACUCAUAAUUCUAGACCAGGGAUCGGCAAACAUUCUCUGUCAGGGGCCGUGUAGUAGAUAACGAGAGGAUUUGCGGGAGUCUUGCGGUGUGGGGUUCGUGGGCUCCUGAGUGAGGUCUGGGUCCCCCGAUUAGGCAGGAAGGGCAGGGUUGGUGUGUGGGGGGUUCCCAUGGUCAAGCAGCAGCCUCUCCACACUCAGCCCGAGGCCGGCUGUGACUCCACGGGUGGUCUCAGGCUGACUCCACAGUGGAGACUGGCAGCCCCGUUUCGUGAAGGAUCGCACACGUCCUGCAUCUGGGGUUGAACUUCAUCCUGUAGGUGCUGGGGAUUUCCCAAAAUACUUCAAUCAGGGCAGUGAUGCGGACAGUCUGUGUUUUGGAAAGAUUAUCCUGCCAGCCAUAGGAGGGGGCGGGCUGGGAAGACAAAGACCAAGGAGAUGGGGAGCGGGGCGUCAGCUGGGAAUCUGCUGGAAUAGAAAGGAUAGUGGCCGUUACUGGAAGGACGGAGAGGACACACGGGUUCUGACACACGCAGCGUGUGGUCUUGGUGACUGACCACGUCAGGCCACGGGGGCACAGCCCAGCUUUGGGAUAUGGUGGUGUUCACCGAGCCCAGAGGUGCGGGAGGUGGGUGGGGAGCAGGUGCUGAACCCGGUUGAGAUGGCUCUGGGCCUCCAGGGGAUGCUGUAGGUAGCUAGUGGGAUGCACAGAUCCGGAGGUCAGGAAAUAGGAGUGACUGAUUCGGGAGUCACUGGAGUAUGACUCCGCACUGCUGGGGUGAACCCCCAGUUUAUAAACGGGAGCCGACGGGUAGAAGAUGAUGCUGUGACCAACACGGGCCAGACUAAUGGUCAUUUCUCUUUCUAGAUGAGGUUUUUCUUAGGUUCCCUGUCUUCGAAAUUAUUUCUUAGUAUAGUUUGUAGAAGUAGAGAGAAAACGUAAGUAUAAAUUUGGAAAGGGUUAGCUAAAAGGAGAAAACAAUCUCUAAGUCCAUGGAAAUGGGUAUUAGCAACGUGCUAGACCUAAGAGACUAUAGAUAAAGAGACUAUAGACUUCGUACGUCUGCUUUUGCUGUGGAAAAGGCAGGAUCAAAGGGAUGCUGUGUCUUUCGGCAAGACCCUCUUUUAUCAGGGCCAAUACGAUCAGUGGAAGCAGGAAAUUAGAAAUACGAGAACAGCCCUGCCACUCACCCGGCACUCGGCCGUCUCUCCCUCCAAGAGUAAUCAUGAACUUCAUGUUUGCGGCUACAUGCUCAGCUAGUGCUAAACCCCACGGAAGCGCCGCCCCUGAGCAGGACUGGCCUCUCUCAGGUACCCUUUGUGGGCUUGACAGGUAAAAUGAAAGAUGCUGGAGACAGGGAUGAUUUUAUGUACAUUGUUUGUUUGUUGGUGGGAAGGAGGCCUAUCCACGUGCAAGCCUCCAGAUCCUGACACUAAGGAUACAGGCUGUGAGUGAAAGAACUGGAAGGCACGGGGACGGCCACGCUGCCGGCGUCUGGGCCCGUCCGCAUUUCCGUGGGUACCAAGCAGACGGAAAGGGACAACCCCAAGUGGUAGAGCAACAGUUCCUUCUUCAUGGAAGUAAUUACGCGCUCAGGGUCAGUGAUGUCGGUGGUCGAGUGAGGAAAACGGUGAGAAGUCCAAGUCUGCCCUCCGUCUGUUCCCCAGACGUGAGCGCGGUGAACAUACCUGGGUACCCUUCUCCAUCUGUCUCCGUGCGUUCUUUUUAAAAAUUUUAUGCGGAUGGGAUGACACUCUAUAUUCUGUGUUGUGUUCCGCUUUUUCACUUGUUAAUAAACCUUAAAAUUACUUUCACAUCUGCACGUGGUGAGCGACCUUAGUGUUUUAAGUGGUCGCGUAGCAUUGAUGUGCUCUAACUUUUUUUAACCGGCCCUCUGUUAAUGGACAUUUAGAUUGCUUCCGUUUUUUAAAUUACAAACAACGGCAUAAAGAACACCCUGCUCUGUUUGAGCGUGCUCACACGAAUCACUCCAUCGGGGGGGGCUCCUGGCAGUGGAAUGGUGCCGGAUUCUAUGUUUUUAGAGAUGUUUCCAUAUUGCUUUCGGUGAAAGGCCGUGCGGCUUUGCAUGCCCACCACCGACAGGGAAGAGCACUGUUUCCUGGGAUGGGUGGACGGAUGAAGGCCAGAGUGAACGUGCACACGUUCGUGACCCCUGGCUGUGUGCCAGUCACAGGCGAUGCCCUGGAAGGGAAGCCGCACAAGGGGCAGUGGGCCGUGGCCACCGGAGCUCAGACUGGAGGAUGGAGCCAGCCGUGUGGAGGGGAAGGUGAGCAGUGGGUAAGGCAGGAGCGUUGGCCUCCAAGGGAGCUGGGUCUAGUCGCUGGGUCUGUCGCCCACUGGCCGAGGGGGCGCGGGGAGACCUCGUCAUGCGCGAGUCUCGGCCCCUCACUUGAAGACGCAGAUAAUGAUGCCUGCCUCGAAGACUGAAUGCGAACGUUUGGGUAAGGCUUCCACCCUGCUCGUGACGGAGGAAGCGCGGUCAGUGGUGGUGAUGCCGCAUGUGAGGCGGUGGCCUCAGGCCUGGCCACACUGACCACCACGGGGUGUGCCCAGAGCACCCGGGCGCCCAGGGUGGAGGGCGGUCCUGUGCGACAUGUUUGGGAAGAGCCCGGUCUUCAGGGCUGAGUCGGGUUCUCCGUAAGCUGCGGUCGGGAGGAAAUACAGCAGUAAGUUUCCCAAGACAUGUGCUCAGCAGCGGGAAGCCCGCUCGUACGUUGAAGAAGUUGGUUACCAGUCUCAGAAGAAACCCACUUGGGGCAUCUUACAACCCAUGCUGCUUGGGCUGUCAGCCUUAGAAGUAACUUGGUGUUGACUCAUCGGCGUUUCUGGUUUUGUUUUGAAGAAUUGAUCAAGAGGAAUUCCCCAGUCUUGUUUUAAUCUCCUUCUUCCUCUAAAGGGUUGCAGUGGUUAACGUGUUCAUUAUGGCAAAUGUCUAACUAUGUGGUAAGCUUUAUGUUUUUUUAACCUAAUUUGUUUUUCAUAAAGUGCGGUUCUUUGCCCCAUUUAUUUUGGGGAGUAAAUAUAUUUUUUGUGUUCAUCAUUUUCUUUCCAGUUGUUGGUCGCAGUUCUUUGUUAAAUUUAGCCAUUAGUCGGCCAUGUAUAUGUUGAAAAUAUUUUUAUCAUUUUCUUCUUUGUGUUUCUGUUUUGAGGGGUAUAGAUGUAUUAAAAUCUUAUUAGCGAAAUCAGUUUUUUACUUUACGAUUUCUGCCUUUGGCUUCAUUUUUAGGAAGUCUUUCUUCUUGAGAAUAUAUACAUUUUUAUUUUAUCCUAGUACUUUAUUUUUCUCAUGUUAAAAUAUUCUUUUUGAAUGUGUAUUGCUGUAUAAGGCAAGGAACCUAACUUUUUACUAAAAAAAAAAAAAACAGCCAGGUGUCCCAACAGCGCUUCAUAAAUAAUCUGCCCUCUCCCCACUACUUUGAAAUGCCACCUUGUUCAGGGACUGCAUUCUUGCCUAUUUUUGGGUCUGUUCCUGGAUGUGUUGGUCUUCUCCACGGGUCUCUCCGUGUCCCGUGCUGACGUGUGUCCCCUCAGUGUGCCGUGAGGCCUGCUAGAGGGAGUCCGGCCCCCACAAUUCUUCGUUUAAAAAAUUGAGCUGACUAUUCCGAACCAUUCAUUUUUGAGAUUAACUUUAAAAUUAUCCUGUCAGUCUCUUCCCCACAUCCUCUAGAGAUCUUGGUUGGAAUUGUGUUAACGUUUUAGGUUAGUUUGUGGGAAAUAACAUUUCUUUACAAUAUUCAGGCGUCUCCAGGAGUACGGCCUCCCCGCUUGUCCCAGGCCCUUCCCGUGUUACUGUGCAGAUGUGUUUGCUUUGAGUCCUAUCCCUAGUCAAUUAGUAUUUGUUGUUACUGUGAAUAGAGUAUUUUUUUUCUGCUGUAUUGUCAAGUUCUUCUCCUUGUGCAGGAAAGCAGAGGAACACAGGCUCAGAUUGUCCAGAUGGGACUAGAAGUCUUGGAAGUAACAUUAAAGUUAUUUUCUUCAAUGUGUUUUAAGUUCUAGAAAAUUGAAUAUUAGAAAACUUAAUUUAUUUCGUUUUUUUUUAAGAUUUUACUUGUUUGCCAGAGAGAGAGCACGAGCAGGGGGCAGAGGGAGAAGCAGACUCCCCGCUGAGCAGAGAGCCCGACGUGGGACUCGAUCCCAGGACCCUGGGGCCACCCAGGCGCCCUGAAGACUUAGUGUCACGAGGAACUUGCACUGCUGAUGCCAUGUUUUCAAAGUGAGGUGUCCGAGGCUGGGUUUUUAAGGGCUGCUGGACUUGUGGGGCGCUGAGGGUUCCCCAGUUUCCCACAGGUGUCAGUGUGGGUCCGAGGUGGCCGUUUUAUCUGCCAUACCCCGCAUUUCACGUCCUUAUUCACUUAACUAGCACACCAGGGGCUGCUGAGCAGGAGGGGAUUUUGGAGAUCCUCUGAGUCAGUCCUUCCGUCUUGCAGCCGAGGGCACAGGCCUAGACGGGAAACGACCUGUCCAAGGUCACACAGGCACAUGGGGUGACGCCGAAACCCAGAUGUUCCUGUCCCCAAAUGACGGUAAAAGUCAGUCACCAAGGUCACAGAGAAGAGAUAAGGUGUAGGCCCAACAUAGAAGUUAUAUUUUGGAGGAAUGGAAGCAUGCUGUUCAGUUUGUUUGGGUAGGUUUAUAUUUAGAGAUUCUUAAUGAAUAUGAUGUUAGGUUCUUGGGUUAUAAUAAUUGGGUGAAAACAGCUAACUUUUAUUGCCUGGAUGUAGCAUUACUGGAUGUGAAGGUGACCCUCGAUCUAGUGUGCCUUCUUCAGCCCGACUGUGGAUUAAACACCAACACUUGCUCGUGGCCAAUAACUCCACGCCCCUCCCUGCACAGCCUGACUUGGGAGGUUCGGGAGAAAUCCUAGAAACUGUUCAGUUCCACAUACCAUCAAGGAGUCUGUAAUGUUUUCCAGGAAAGACCCCGAGCAAGAGAAAAAUGUUCUUUUUUGUUAUACAUUACGAGAAAUCAGGGCAAUGAAGUGAGAGGUGCACUUACGGGCCGUGUUAAGACAAAGUAUGCAGCAUAGAGUUUUAGAGAAAUCCCCUUCCUUUAAUCUGCUGACCUCACCUUAUCCAGGGCUGCUCGUGGGAAGCAUGGGGGGCAUUUAAUCUGUAGGGCAGAGGCAAGACUCCGGCAGGGCGCGCGUGAUGAGCACCUGUUUCCCGGACACCAGCACUCCCUGGGUUUGGGGGAGGCGCGAGCCCCACGCGUUGGUGUGAAGGUGAAGGAGGUCAUCGUGGGUUGAGUCUUAAAGGAAAGUUAGGAAUCACCGGGGUUCCAGACACUUGGCAAAGGCGGGACACGCGUGGGGCAGGCUGGAAAGCACGUGUCUGGGCGAGCAGUGACUAGGUUACAGUCACCCCCCCUUAGCUGAGGGGGGGUGUUCACAUCCCCCAGCGACGCCUGAAACCACAGAGAGCACUGAACCCCAAAUACACAAUGUUUUUUCCUGUACGUACAUACUUACGGUGAAGUUCAGUGAAUAAACCAGGCCCAGUAAGAGGUGAACGACAGGCGCUCAUAAUGAAAUAGCACAGUUAUAGCAAUAGACCGUAAUGAGAGUUGCGUGAACGUGGUCUCUCUCGCUCUCGAAACGCCUGUUCCGCGCUGAGCCCGCUGGUGAUGUGAGCUCACCCAAAGCUACGUGAGGAGAUGAGUGAGGCGGGGGCGCGGGCACCGUGAGCUCCGGGUUAUGAGUGACCCGCCGUCCGGCGCUGCGUCCCAGGGAGAAUCACCUGCUCGAGCCCGCAGUCGACCGCGGACGGGAGGCACAGCCAAGGGGGGGUUACUCUGUUACGUUGAGAGCUUGAGGUCAGUCGAAGGACGGCGAGAUCGAGAGCAGACGGCGGCCGGUCUGGUUUGAGGUUCUUUGAGUUGGAGGUCGCAGCCUGAGAUGUUUUCUCUGAACGCUUUUGAAACUUUUUAUUUUGAAAUAAUAAAUGACAAAAAUAGCAGAGAGGGGUCCUGGGUUCUCUUCCCCCGGCCGCCCUGCGGUGGCAUCUCUCAGGGCUGCCGCGGGACGCGGGGCCCCUGCGGCCUGACUCCGUGUCACCGCGUGCACGCCGUGAUGUGCAGGGUGCGCACGCGUCUCUGUGUGUUUGUCACAUGGGCACAUUUGUGCAGCGUGUGCCGUGUAGUCUUACUUCAGCAAAAUGUACGGGACCAGAAAGCUUGCCGGACAGGGAAGUGCUCAUUCAACAUCUGGGUAAAGGGAAUGGCGGAAGCCGGGAGCAGCUUUCAUUUUGCUAGGAAGCUCGGACGGCGUGGGGGUGAUGCGGCGCUGUCGCUCUUCAGGAUGAGGACUUUGCAGGCUCCUAAAACGUGCGAGCAAUCCAGGCAGCCCCGGAAACACCCGUAUGUUUGCCUGUCGAGGCGACCGUUCUUCACUGCUCUCGGCAGCCAGGCUCCUCCACCUGGAGCCCGGCCCCGCAGACCCCGUGCCUGGGACGGCCUGCCUGCCCGACCCGCCUGAACUUACCUGAGCACCCAAGCUCUUACGGGUCUGUUUCUGAUCGUGGCACAAACGUGUGCAGCUUACCAUCCUCACCACCUCUGCGAGUGUAGCUCGGGAACAUUACACGCAUGCACGGCCUCGGCGCUUUCCCUCUUGCCGGUCAGAGCCUGUGGCCCAGCUCCGUGGCCCCGGGCCCGGGCAGACGCCCUUCUGCUCCCCGUCUCUGUGAAUUCAGCUACGUCAGACACAUCGUGUGUGUGGAAUCAUACAGCGUUUGCUUUUUUGUCGCUGGCUUACUUUAUUUCUUGUUUGUAUCACACGGAUGUACGAGGAAUUGUCCUUAAGAUCCUCCGAACCGCUAAGCUUUGCUUGUAAACCGAGCAGGGAAACCGAAGCGCUGCAUCCACUCGUGUUACACCGGGUGAGGACCCGCGGACAAGCAGAGUCGUGCGAGCAAUCUGAAAAUCGCAGGACGUUCUGUAACGUCUUCCCAGGUUUAGGGGCCUCCUGAAGGCCCACGUGGUUACCAGCCGCAGGGACAGUGUCCCAGGCUCGGAGCCAGAAUGAAUGGGACCUUAGAGCCGUUGGGGUGAGGCUGCGGGUCUGCUGUUGCUGUUUCUCCUUUGUAACCCGUGGGCGAUGUUCUAAAGCUGGGCAUGGCAAACGGAUUCUGUAGGGGGCCAGGUACUCAAUAUUUGGGGCUCCGUGCAACGUCUGCUGCCCGCUGUAAUGAUUCGGCUCUGCUGUUUCAGUGUGGAUGCAGAGCGUGGCUGUGCUUCAUUGAAACUGGAUUUCCAGGGGCGCCCGGGUGGCUCAGUCGUUGAACGUCUGCCUUCGGCUCAGGUCAGGAUCCCGGGGUCCUGGGAUCGAGCCGCGCGUCGGGCUCCCUGCUCUGCAGGAAGCCUGCUUCUCCCUCUCAGUCUUUCGCUCCCUCUCUCUCUGUCUCUCUCAAAUAAAUAAAUAAAAUCUUAAAAAAAAAAAAAGAGGAAACCUGGUUUACAAAAGCAGGCGAGGGGCCAGAUUUGACCCCCGCUGUAGUUGCCAAGCCCUGUACUCAGGUGGGGGGACCCUCACUGCUACCUCUUUGGUCCUCAGCACCUCGCUUGCUGUCGUUCACACGGGAGACAGUUCUGGUUGUUGUUCAGGCAGAUGGUCAUGAUGAUUUAAGAAAUGCAAAUCAAAUGAUCAUUUCCUGCUGACUUUUAAUCGUUUAUUAAGUUUGGGGCUUAUUUUCUGUACACCAUGCUAGUUAGCUUUACGAUACAGCAGAAGGUACGCCUAAGAAAAGAGCAAACAUGUUUAAAGCACAUCUUCGAAGGGAUAUGCAAAAUAUUUCUGAGGGUUCAUAAAAGUAUUUCUUUUUCUAAAGGAAAAUAGCUUUGUUCUGAUGAUAAACAUAAGAUUUACUCAAGCAGUGCAGAGGAAUGUAAAGAAAUAAUAAAUACGCCCAGUUCCCUAAACGGGGUAAGCACGAUCAUAGCCACGUGUAAAUUGUUUGCCGGAUCCCUUUGUGUGCCCCCCCCCAAUCUGUCUCUGUCACCUGCUUGGUGCCGGGGAGGGUCCCCUGCAUGGACCACAUCACAGGCGCCCUAGCCCUGGCUUCUAGGUCUCCAGCCAGCGGGGGGCACCAACGGAGAUCAGAGCGUGCGGGAGUGUGAGGUGGGGCGUUCACUCCCUCCUGCCCCCGCCCUCGGGGCAUUCUCUGCCCAGAGCCCCACUUCCGGCCAGCGGCCCCUCCUGCGGCAGCUCUCGGCGCCUAGAGCCUUGCCCUCCCCACUGCCACCCCUUGACCUUCAGGCCCGGAGGUGGCCAAGGCUCCCUGUGGGGGGACAUGCUCGCCGUCUGCCGCUUCUCUCGUCCCGCCUGCCCUCUGACCACUCCCCGGCUCACCGCUCCCCCAGUUUGAAUGUGCCGUCUGUCCCUCGCCGUGGCCCCGACCUGACCGAGACAGAGUCGUGUCCCCUUGACUGACCCCCCACCCCAACCAGGGCCGGUAAGGAGCACGGCCCUCGUCUGCUUUAUCUUUCCAGGCAAGAAACAAAGAGCUGGCGCACGUCGUGAGCGCUGGGAAAUCGGAGUCCACAUUCCAUCUCUCCCGCAUUUGCCGGCCGUGUAGCUUCCGGCAGAUACGUGCUCUCUUUGAGCCCUGGUUUUCCUGUUUGAAGAACAGGGACAGUAAUACCUGCCCUCGCGGGGCUGUUGGGGAGACCCCGCAAGGCCGUGCCUGUCAGGUGCUCUGGCACGACGUCUGGCACGUAGGUGGUUUUUAAUUUAAUUUAAUUUUAUUAUGUUAGUCACCAUGCAGUACAUCAUUAGUUUUUGAUGUAGUUUUUAAAAGGGGUUUAGGUCAAAGAGCGACUCCAUUUUCCUUGACGGGGAAGCAGAUUCUCCUCCAGGGGCCUUGGCGAAGGGAGAGGCCCCGUGGAACGGGGAAAAUGCUUUCCGUGAGGCUGGCCCGUGGGCGUCUGGCCCGCACGUUUCUUGCGGUGACAGCAGGUGGCAGUAGAGAGUCAGACCUACCCUCGCAGGCGGCGUGGGCCGAGGAGACCCCCGCCCGGCGUUCGUUGUUACAAGUGUUUGCGUUGCUUGAAAAGAAAUGACUUUCAGGGUCACUGUAAGGAGAACGGGUGUUACUCAUGCCCAGAGUUUACUAAGGGCGGUGUUCAUUGAGCGCAUCACUAGAGUCUUCACGGGCCACCAUCUGUUUGUUUAUUUGGUCGCGCCUAAACUAGGUGCCAGCAUUGUUUCCAUCUGAGCGAGAAGACGCCGAGUUUUAGGAGGAGGUAGGUAAUUUGAUGACUCUUUUUCUUAGCUAGUAACUGGUAGUUGGGGGGUUCACACGCAGGCAUUCUCUCUGGAAGCACGUCCUUGUCCUGGAAAUGCUAGAAGGUCGAUACUUCAACAGGGUUUUAAAAAAAUUUGGGGGGCGCCUGGGUGGCUCAGUCGGCUAAGGGUCCGACUCUUGAUUUCAGCUCAGGUUGUGAUAUCGGGGUCCUGGUUUCGAGCCCUACGUCGGGCUCUGCGCUCAGCGGGGAGACUGCUUGAGGACUCUCUCCUCUCCUUCUGUCCCUCCCGCUCAUGCUCUCUGUCUCUCUCUCAAAUAAAUAAAUAAAUCUUUUUAAAAAUUUGGGUUAUCUGUGAACGUGGUAAAAAAUCCAAACAGUGCAAAAGGUUGGAGUGAAGGUAUGGAGCGUCCUCCUCAUCCAAGUCCUACUGUUCCCAAGUUUGUUUCUCCAGAGCCGGUCACUGUUGCCAGUUUUCUGUGGAUCCUUCCUGAGCUGUCCUGACAGGGGGUUACCCAUAUUCUAGGAAAAAAGGCUGAUCGGUCUCCACAGUUCACCUUAGCUCAACUUCCAUCCUGUUGUCCUCGAGGUUUUCUAGGCUCUCUGGGUUGGGUAGGAGGGGGGUGCUGUUGGUGAGACUCUCAACACCUAAAUCACCAAAUGCCACCCAUUCUUCUUAUGUCUUUGCUUUCAGCCCUUCUAGAAGAGUCUAAACUCCCGUCGUCCCCAACUUUCUUCAUUUCAACACAUAGUCCAGCGUUCUCGGGGUUGAAUGAAAGCCUUGAACUCAUAAAACACUUAGGUGUACCUCGAAGGCCUGCAGAGACUGUCUUACGUCCUGGAGACCUCGUUAGCUGAUGAGCUGCCUGGGGACAUGGAGGGAUGGCUCCCGUGGCUGGUGUGGAUGCCUGUCCCAGGACUGCAAGGCCAGUCCUGUAUUUUGACACAAAUGUUAGGCCCUGUGUUCAAAGAAAGGAUUUUAGAGUAACAACACAAAAGUGAUCAAUCGCAUGAUGAUUGUCUUUCAAAGAUGAUUUUCGGGGUGCUUGGCAGGGGCUCAGUCGGUUGAGCAUCCAACUCUUGGUUUUGGCUCAGGUCAUGAUCUCAGGAUUGUGGGAUUGAGCCCCGCGUUGGGCUCCGUGCUCAGCAGGGAGUCUGUUUGGGGAUUCUCUUUCUCUGCCCCUCCCCCCACUUGCACACUCUCUCUAAAUCAAUAAAUAUCAUUUUUUAAAAAGAUUUUAUUUAUUCGACAGAGAGAAAGAGAGAGAGCACAAGCAGGAGGACUGGCAGAGGGAGAGGGAGAGGGAGAAGCCAACUCCCCGCUGAGCAGGGAGCCCGAUGCGGGGCUCGAUCCCAGGACCCUGGGAUCAUGACCUGAGCUGAAGGCAGACGCUUAACUGACUGAGCCACCCAGGCGCCCUAAUAAAUAAAUAUCUUUAAAAAAAAAAAAGAUGAUUUUUACUACAUUGUGUCUGAUUCUACAUGGAGAUUCCCAAAUGGCCAAAAUACAUUGUGACCCAACACAGCAGAAUGAAUGAAGGUGCAUUUACAGUGUAAUUAAAAAACAAGCAAAGAGCUGUCUGCCUUAGCUGGUUUAUUUAGUGGCACACUCCUUCAGAGUAGUAUGCAACUGCAGGGAAAUAAAUGUUUAAGAACCCUCGUGGUUAUAUACAGUCGGAAGUCGAGCAUGUCUACUGUGAUCACGUGACUGGGGGCCCCCUUGCAAGCUCUGUACGGCUGUACCAGGAAGGGGGAUCCGGGGGGGGUCCUGCUUCCAUCUGUUCUUUCAGAGCAACCCUGCUGAGCUCAAAGCAUCUGGUAUUGAUUUCUGAGAAUUCUGCUGCAAGAGCCGUCAUGAAUUAUUGGUCCUGUAUUUUAUUUCAGGAUUUCAGCUCCUUCGUGUUCCAGAGGCAUGUUUAUAAUCAGUUGCGGGGCCUGAGGGGUGUGCACCCAUGCAGCCAUUGAUUAAGUUGACAUUUGGUAUUAAUAGCUUUGAGACUGUUUGCGUCCUAAUAUGCUUAUCCAUCUUAGAUUUCAGGUCAAGGCAGGUGUCUCCUAGCUACUGAGUGCUGGCGCUGGGAUGCAGACCCCACAGCCUGUCUAGAAGCCCGCACACUCAGCCCUACUGAUGCUUCCUCCGUCCCUUUGCCUGGUCCCACGUGCAUCUUUAGCAAUAGGAGCUGGGCGUGUCGAAUCAUCAGCCACCUGGGCGGCAAGCCCUCCACUUUAGCUCUUCGGCGCUGACUGCCCUUAAGGAGGAAUUUGAUCUGUCUGAGCACGGAGCUCCGUUCUCCAUCCGUGAACUGGGGCGAGUGAGCCCUGCCCUCCUGCCUGCCGGGCGGAUGUACUGACCAGCUGACUCUCCCUGGCUUAUAGCACAGCACCUGCCACGUUGUGUUAGCCCCUGUACCCUCUCUUCCCUUCUAGAAGCUGGGCUUUGGAUACGAGUUAGGAGUUCCCUGGGAUGCUCCGAACAGGUAACGACUUGGUUAUAGUCAGAAGUCUCAUUCUGUCUCUCACUCCUGUUCUUUCUUUCGUAGUAAAUAGAACUGGACUCCGCCUCUCUCUGGGAAAAGGAGAAAACUGUCCCCAGAAGGCGAGGAAAGGGCUCCUCCUCCUCAAUGGGCCAUGGGCCUUCUCACUGUGUAGGAUAAGAGCAGGCCACACCACAUUUCCCGUGCAGGGGGGCUGCGUGGACGUUUCACUGAGUUUUGUUUGCGUCAGGACUGUCAUGACCAGACAGGUAAAUACAGAGAUUAGAGGACCUUGCCGGCGUGGAGAACAGCAUGGCAGGAGCCGAGACUCGCACACAGGACAUCAUGGGGCGGGCUGUGGGACGGUGGUCUCCUCCGUGUAAGGGGACUGCCUGAGAUUCAUGGCAGACAGUGCUGGAGCAGUGAUGGGGAUGAGGCUGCGGUGGGUCCUGCCCCCCACCCCCUUAGAGAAUGUGGAUGUUGUUUUUAAGAGACUGUGAUUGACUCAAGGUUUUUGAGCAAGGGGCGUCAGGAUGAAGGCUGAAUUUGAGGGCUUGGACAGACAGGUCAAGGUGAGAGCCCAGGUGGAGGUGAGCUCAGACAGACAGGUGGAGGCGAGCGCCCAGGUGAACGCACGCUCGGAUGGACAGGUGGAGGUGAGCGCCCAGGUGAACGUAUGCUCAGAUUGACAGAGGUGAGCACCCAGGCGGAAGUGAGCUCAGACAGACAGGUGGAGGUGAGCGCCCAGGCAUAUGCGUGCUCGGACAGACAGGUGGAGGUGAGCACCCAGGUGGAGGUGAGCUCAGACAGACAGGUGGAGGUGAGCGCCCAGGCAAACGCGUGCUCGGACAGACAGGUGGAGGUGAGCACCCAGGUGGAGGUGAGCUCAGACAGAAAGGUGGAGGUGAGUGCCCAGGUGAACGCAUGCUCGGACAGACAGGUGGAGGUGAGUGCCCGGUGGAGGUGAGUGCCCAGGUGAAUGUGUGCUGGGACAGACAGGUAGAGAUGAGUGCCCAGGUGGAGGUGAGCUCAGACAGACAGGUGGAGGUGAGCGCCCAGGCAUAGGCGUGCUCGGACAGACAGGUGGAGGUGAGCACCCAGGUGGAGGUGAGCUCAGACAGAAAGGUGGAGGUGAGCGCCCAGGUGGAGGUGAGUGCCCAGGUGAACGUGUGCUCGGACAGACAGGUGGAGGUGAGUGCCCGGUGGAGGUGAGUGCCCAGGUGAAUGUGUGCUGGGACAGACAGGUAGAGAUGAGUGCCCAGGUGGAGGUGAGCUCAGACAGACAGGUGGAGGUGAGCGCCCAGGCAUAGGCGUGCUCGGACAGACAGGUGGAGGUGAGCACCCAGGUGGAGGUGAGCUCAGACAGAAAGGUGGAGGUGAGCGCCCAGGUGGAGGUGAGUGCCCAGGUGAACGUGUGCUCGGACAGACAGGUGGAGGUGAGUGCCCAGCUGGAGGUGAGCUCAGACUGGUGGAGGUGAGCGCCCAGGUGGAGGUGAGCUCAGGCAGACAGGUGGAGGUGAGCUCAGACAGGUGGAGGUGAGCGCCCAGGUGAACACACACUUGGAUGGACAGGUGGAGGUGAGUGCCCAGCUGGUUGUGCGGUGGUACUUGGAGGGGGUCGCUGGGAGACGUGGCCCCAGCUCUGAGCUAGCAAGAAGAGGGGGAGGAAACAGCUCUUUGUGGCUGCCAGGCUGUGACACUCCUCAUUUCCAGCCUUCUCUGCGGGAUUAGGGCAAGGACAGGCCGCCAGCUGAGCAGCCCAGGACAGGAGCCUGAGGUCAGGGUGCCCCAAGAGGGUCUGCGGCCCAGCUGCUGAUUCCACGGCCAGGGAGAAAGAGGAUGUUGUGUGAAGGAGAACUGAAUCCUCAGCACCUAGCACAGUGCUUUCGGUCCCGUGAAUAGAUAAGGGCACUUAGGAAACGCUCUACCUUCAUUUUCUUUCAGGGCCUAGUUCCUGUUCUUUCAGCUUUAGUGGGUGAAGGUUCUGCGGCUCAGUGUCUGUCCUCAUGUCCCCACUGAGGGCAUCCUCGCCCCAGUGGCUUCCAGGUUGCCAGAUUUCCUGUCCUUACCAUACUCGUCCGUUCUGCCAAUGUUCCGCUCCCUUCUUCCUGAGACUCUUUCCUUAUCUUCUAGGCGAGGUCAGUGCCCUGCGGCCCACGGGCCACAGCUGGCCCGCCACCUGCCUCUGUGCAUAAGACUUUAUUGGCGCACGGCCACACUGUUUGCGGACGUAUUGUCCGUGGCCCCUUUCGGACCACGUGGCAGUUAAGUCAUCGUGACUCAGACCCUGUGGCCUGUAAAGCCUGGAUUAUUUAUUCUCUGGCCUCGUGCAGGAAGCUUGCUCCCCACUGUUCUGUCACAGUGCCCUCCCCUGGUCUCCUUCCACACCCAGAGUGAGAGCCUGUUCUAAGGGGAGGCUGGGAAAGCUCUGGCCGGAGAACCACUCAGGACUGAAGAAGCCCCACCCCUCCCCUGGCUACCUGGCUCGAGAAAGAGAGUCUGACAUUUCUUAAUUAAAAAAGGAAAGCUCUUAGCGUCGGUGUCUCGUCCUGCGCAGCAUGGCCUGGCCCUGGGCUGAGGCGUUUACAGGCAACCCCUGGUCUCAGGGCCGUGGCCGGCCCUUCUGCGGCAGGCACUGUUCCCAGCUGCCUCUCGGAGCGCAGGAGACCGAAGCAGGAGAGCCUGGCGGGGCCGGCGAGAAGUAGCCCGGGGCCUGAGCGCCUCGCCGCCGCGGUGGGUUGCCUCCAGGGGGCACUGGUGGGUCGGAGCCAGCCCUGAACGGAGGGCAGAUGCGCUGCGAACGGCUGGAUGAGGUUCCCGAAGCUUAGCCUUGCCGUCCUGGAGUGCAGAACCACGCUGGAAAUCCAGCAGAGCCAGGGGAAGACACCCUACAGAGCACGACUCUGCAGAGCCGGGCCUGGCGGAGUGCGCGCUGGGCGGCGGGGUGCAGUCCGGGGCGGCGGGGGCUCCCUGUGCCGGGCGCGCUCGGUGAGGCGCACAUGCUUGAACACAGUCAGGUGGCGUCCUCCUGCGUGUGUGCUCUAUGUCACUGUCCUCUCACGGAGCCCGUGGUGAAAACGGCCGCGCCAGAGGCUCAGGGAGAAUUUGUGCGCAGACCAGGCAGUUUUCUCCUGCUCUCCCUGCCGAGUUUUGACCUUGCAGGGCAUUAGGGUGGCUCUGGGACCCUUAGCGGGGACGGCCCAAGGUGGGACCAGCGUGUUCAAGCGGAGCUUGGUAAGCCUGCGUGUGACCUUCAGGCCCCUGGGGAGGGAAAGCAUCCAGGACCGAAGACACUUGGAUUCAUCAAGCAGACGCAGGCCAGAGGGGGCUUCUAAGGACCUGAGCCGGGAGCGCAGGUGACCGCAUGGCAGAAGGAGCAGCGGUACCCAUCCUGCUGGCUGGGGGCCCAGCAGCAACACCCCACACAGGAUGUCGGCACCCCUGCCUGUGAAGGGCCCUCGUCACCCGAGAAUCCCAGAGCCGUUCUCCUUCUUGCUUACUCACUGUAGAGCUCGCUUCGAGCGGCUGGGCAAGGUCACACUUCGGCCAUCUUCCCAUCCUGGGAUGUUGCCUCCCCAGUGCAGACCCAGGGUGGGCCUCCGUGAGGGCCGUAGAGCAGGCGGGCGCGGUGACCCCGGGGGAGCGAGGCCACCUCUGCCGCGAGGGACUCGAGAAAGGUGUUUUCUUGUCUUGCUGUCUCCUUCCUUCUCUUCUAGUGGCCUGGAGGUGCGUGAUCUGAAACUCUAGCUUCCCUUUCUCCUGUAUUGACUGGUGGAAAUCCCGAUUUCCUCCUGGCUUUCCUUUUGGCAUCUUUGCAUUUAAAAAAAAUGUAAAUGACACAACAUGAGAUCCACUCCCUUAACAAAAA